rnacentral:rRNA from 1 species
UUCCGGUUGAUCCUGCCGGACCUGACUGCUAUCGGAUUGAUACUAAGCCAUGUGAGUCAUUGUAGCAAUACAAGGCAUACGGCUCAGUAACGCGUAGUCAACCUACCCUAUGGACGGGGAUAACCUCGGGAAACUGAGAAUAAUACCCGAUAGAACAUUAUUCCUGGAAUGGUUAAUGUUUCAAAUAAUUUAUUGCCGUAGGAUGGGACUGCGGCCUAUCAGUUUGUUGGUGAGGUAAUGGCCCACCAAGACUAUUACAGGUACGGGCUCUGAGAGGAGAAGCCCGGAGAUGGGUACUGAGACACGGACCCAGGCCCUAUGGGGCGCAGCAGGCGAGAAAACUUUGCAAUGUGCGCAAGCACGACAAGGUUAAUCCGAGUGUUUCCUGCUAAAGGAAUCUUUUGCUAGUCCUAAAAACACUAGCGAAUAAGGGGUGGGCAAGUUCUGGUGUCAGCCGCCGCGGUAAAACCAGCACCUCAAGUGGUCAGGGGGAUUAUUGGGCCUAAAGCAUCCGUAGCCUGCUCUGUAAGUUUCCGGUUAAAUCCAUUAGCUUAACUGAUGGGCCGCCGGAAAAACUGCAGAGCUAGGGAGUGGGAGAGGUAGACGGUACUCGGUAGGAAGGGGUAAAAUCCUUUGAUCUAUUGAUGACCACCUGUGGCGAAGGCGGUCUACCAGAACACGUUCGACGGUGAGGGAUGAAAGCUGGGGGAGCAAACCGGAUUAGAUACCCGGGUAGUCCCAGCUGUAAACGAUGCAGACUCGGUGAUGCCCUGGCUUGUGGCCAGUGCAGUGCCGCAGGGAAGCCGUUAAGUUUGCCGCCUGGGAAGUACGUACGCAAGUAUGAAACUUAAAGGAAUUGGCGGGGGGAGCACCACAAGGGGUGAAGCCUGCGGUUCAAUUGGGAGUCAACGCCGGGA